rnacentral:rRNA from 2 species
UCUGGUGACGAUGGCGAAGAGGUCACACCCGUUCCCAUCCCGAACACGGAAGUUAAGCUCUUCAGCGCCGAUGGUAGUAAGGGGCCUCCCCUUGCAAGAGCAGGACGUUGCCAGGC